GACGAACGCUGGCGGCGUGCUUAACACAUGCAAGUCGAACGGAAAGGCCCUGCCUUUGUGGGGUGCUCGAGUGGCGAAAGGGUGAGUAACACGUUAGUCACCUUCCCUGGACUUUGGGAUAACUUCAGGAAACUGGGGCUAAUACCGGAUAGGAGCUUCUCCUGCAUUGUGGGGGUUGGAAAGUUUCGGCGGUUGCGGAUGGACUCGCGGCUAAUCACUUUGUUGGUGGGGUAUGGGCUUACCAAGGCUUUGACGGGUAGCCGGCCUGAGAGGGUGGCCGGCGACAUGGGGACUGAGAUAGGGCCCAGACUCCUACGGGAGGCAGCGGUGGGAAAUAUGGCACAAUGGCCGGAAGCCAGAUGCAGCAACGCCGCGUGCGGGAUGACGGCCUUCGGGUUGAGAACCGUUUCCGCCUGUGACGAAGCGUGAGUGACGGUAAUGGGUAAAGAAGCACCGGCUAACUACGUG
rnacentral:rRNA from 1 species